CUCCGAUGAUGAGCCUGCCAUGCUAAUACCGAUGCACCAGACUGACUGCGCUGUUAGUCUGGGUGUGGGUGAGUUUAACUUACCUUCUCACACAUGGAGUGUGCACUGAGGAGA
ensembl:snoRNA small nucleolar RNA U6-53/MBII-28